rnacentral:lncRNA from 1 species
GUUGGUGUGAUGAUUGUUUCUCCCAUUAGAUGUGGCUGUUUUGUGUAACAUCAUGUGCCACCCCUGCCCUGCCCAGUCCCUGUGUGCAUGCAACCCCUCUGAGAUGCAUGCCUUGCCCAGUCCCACAUUAAUCAUUUACGUGUGUAAAUAUCUAAUGACACGUUUUUUGGAAAAUCCCAAUCAAACCCAACCAAACAAAACCACCCUCACAACUCCCCAGAAAGAAAGAAAAAAAGAAUCCAGCAGAGCAGUCAACAGAUACUUUGACCUUAGGGACUGGGCAGAAGGAAGGAUCACCCCCUGAGAAGAUGAAGGGUUUUUUUCCUGAGAGUCUGGGCAGAGCUCGGUCAGUUGAGGAACUUAACUUCCAAUCCGAGGACGAAGAAGACAAAACACCCCUGUUAACAAGCACCUGAGUCAGGGUGAGGCACACGGAUGAAGAUAAAAUAGUAUCAGGUGGGGCCUGAGACGGUGACGUUUGGGUUGAGACCGGAACGGUAAGCAACAUGUGUGGAACCUAUUAACAAUAAAGGUUUUGAUGAAGGCCAGAAAAUGGCGGCACCAUCUGUAGGGAGAAACCUGUCAAAGCUGCCUGCUUAAACGCAAAGGCAGAAGCCCCAUCUAGUGGCCAGAUUCAGAAACUGCGUGGAUUGAGCCCCCCCCCCAAGCAGAAUACUGUAUGCACCGGAGACACAAAAUUCCUUUUAAAACCACCCUGUAAUUAAGAGGCAGUGUGAUGGAUGUUCUCAAGGGGCAAAUAAAUAACUCCCAAAUAUACAAAUAAAAGCCCAAAAUACAUGUAGUCUUCCCUCAGUGUCACAGGGGAUUGAUGUGAGGACUCCCAAAGACACUGAAAUCUACAAAUGCUUAGAUUCUUAAUAUGAGGCAUGAUCAAAAAAUAUGGUGAGUGUUUAACUUUUUUAUUGCUGUAAGAGAUACAUAGCUAUUAAUCUCCCUAAAUUUACAUUUCCACCAGAAGUAUGGAAGGGUUUCUUUUCCCUUUCAUCCUCAGCAG